AGCCGUAUGGUCUAGUUGGUAAAAGAUUCCGACCUGAAAUUACAUUAUUUUAUACGGAGAUCCUAGGUUCAAAUCCUAGUACGGCUA
rnacentral:tRNA from 1 species